rnacentral:rRNA from 1 species
GACGUAGGGGGCGAGCGUUGUCCGGAUUUAUUGGGCGUAAAGCGUGCGUAGGCGGCUGCGCAAGUCGGGUGUGAAACCCCGGGGCUCAACCCCGGAACUGCAUCCGAUACUGCGUGGCCAGAGGUAGGUAGGGGAGAUCGGAAUUCCUGGUGUAGCGGUGAAAUGCGCAGAUAUCAGGAGGAACACCGGUGGCGAAGGCGGAUCUCUGGGCCUUACCUGACGCUCAGGCACGAAAGCUAGGGGAGCGAACAGG